rnacentral:tRNA from 1 species
GUCAGGAUGGCCGAGUGGUCUAAGGCGCCAGACUCAAGAACCGAGGUUCUUCGCCGACAUGAGGUGUUGAGUAUUCUGGUCUCCGAAUGGAGGCGUUGGUUCGAAUCCCACUUCUGACA